GACGAAGAACGUAGCGAAAUGCGAUAAGUAAUGUGAAUUGCAGAAUUCAGUGAAUCAUCGAAUCUUUGAACGCACAUUGCGCCCGCCAGCACUCUGGCGGGCAUGCCUGUUCGAGCGUCAUUUCAACCAUCAAGCCCCCAGGGGCUUGUGCUGGGGCCCUGCGGCUGCCCGCAGGCCCUGAAAACCAGUGGCGGGCUCGCUAGUCACACCGAGCGCAGUAGCACAUCUCGCUCAGGGCGUGCGGCGGGCUCCUGCCGUGAAACCCCCCACUGUAACCCCAAAGGUUGACCUCGGAUCAGGUAGGAAUACCCGCUGAACUUAAGCAUAUCAAUAAGCGGAGGA
rnacentral:misc_RNA from 1 species